rnacentral:snoRNA from 1 species
AAGUAACACUCUGUGGCAGAUAACCAAAAUUGUCUGACACAAUUUGAGCUUGCUAUAACAAGAAAGUCUAACCUAUUCCGUGUUCUCUUUUCUGUGAGACUAGCCGUUAUAUAGACUUAAACACU